rnacentral:rRNA from 1 species
UACAGAGGGGGCAAGCGUUGUUCGGAAUUACUGGGCGUAAAGGGCGCGUAGGCGGCCAACUAAGUCAUACGUGAAAUCCCUCAGCUUAACUGGGGAACUGCGUGUGAUACUGGAUGGCUUGGAUUUGGGAGAGGGAUGCGGAAUUCCAGGUGUAGCGGUGAAAUGCGUAGAUAUCUGGAGGAACACCGGUGGCGAAGGCGGCAUCCUGGACCAAUAUUGACGCUGAGGAGCGAAAGCCAGGGGAGCAAACGGG